rnacentral:lncRNA from 1 species
CAUGGAAGACUUGGGUUGGGUUGGAGAGGUCUUUAUGGAUCGUACAGCCAUGGAAUGGCUGGGUUGGAAGGGUCCUGGAAGGUCACAGAGCCAUGGAAGACUUGGGUUGGGUUGGAGAGGUCUUUAUGGAUCGUAGAGCCAUGGAAUGGCUGGGUUGGAAGGGUCCUGGAAGGUCACAGAGCCAUGGAAAACUCAGGGUUGUUUGUAGGGGUCCUUAAAGGCCAGAGAGCCAUGGGAUGGCUGGGUUGGAAGGGUCCUGGAAGGUCACAGAGCCAUGGAAGACGCUCAGCCUGGAGCUGCAGCGGUGCCGACCACACAUUCGCAUCCC